UUGCCAGAACUAUUGGAUGAAUGUCUCACUAA
rnacentral:piRNA from 1 species